UGCUGGAACGUCUGUGGAUAAAAUCCUUCAGAGUCGGCAUUACUAUGGUAUAAUACGACCAUAGUGAAAAUAUGACCGAUGCAGAUAAUCAGCAGGAAAGGCUAGAAAUUAGUAAUUGGAUAACCGGUUUCACCGAC
rnacentral:autocatalytically_spliced_intron from 1 species